rnacentral:rRNA from 1 species
UACGAAGGGGGCUAGCGUUGUUCGGAAUUACUGGGCGUAAAGCGCGUGUAGGCGGGUCUUUUAAGUCAGGGGUGAAAUGCCAAGGCUCAACCUUGGAACUGCCUUUGAUACUGGAGAUCUUGAGUCCGGGAGAGGUGAGUGGAACUGCGAGUGUAGAGGUGAAAUUCGUAGAUAUUCGCAAGAACACCAGUGGCGAAGGCGGCUCACUGGCCCGGUACUGACGCUGAGGUGCGAAAGCGUGGGGAGCAAACAGG